AUUUUAACAACAUUUUGUAAUAUUUUUAUCGUUUCAAACGACUUGAAUUCGGCUUGCUGUGUAGUUCACCUUCAUAUGCUGACUAUAGUGUAAAUAAACGCAAUGGACGUCAUGCUUGUCACAUGCACGUGAUCGGAAUUCCCACUAUCUCACUUAGCUUCCUUCAGAAAUUGGUCUCGCUUCAAAGCUUGCAAAUCAUUGCCAAAAAAACACAACGCACUUUCAUUCGUCUUAUAACUGUUCACACUUUGUUGACGUUAAUGAAGUUUAUGUUUGAGUAUAAAGUACUGUGGUUGCUGUGGUGAAGUUGGUGAACCUACGUACACUACUGCAUGCUUGGUGAUAUGUGUAGUUUAUUAUUAGAACAGGAAUUGUUCGUAUAUUUGCUGGAAUUCGUCUCUUUGUGAUAUCAAUUAACCGUCAUCUAGGCGCCUGGUAAGAGUUUCUUUCAUAAUAAAUCUCUAACCAAACUAGUAACAUACUGGAUACAUCAACAAGACGCUCUAUUGAGCGUUAAGAUCCUGGGAAGUGGGGCUGUAUCCUGUAUUGUAAUACAUUUUGAAACCAAUUCCGUACUUUCAAUUUUUACCAUGUACUUAUAUCUUUGAGCUAGC